rnacentral:sRNA from 1 species
UUAUAUUCUCCACAGGGGGGGAUGAGAACCCCCGACCGGGGUUCGACAACUGGCGCGCCAGUUGGACAGACCGCGCACGCAGUAAGCGGGCUGCCCCGCAGGGGCGAGCGAAGCGAGUCAAUCCCCCCCCCACCGCCA